UACAGAGGUGCCGAGCGUUAGGCGGAAUCACUGGGCUUAAAGCGUGUGUAGGCGGCUGCCUAAGUCCCUUGUGAAAUCCCACAGCUCAACUGUGGAACUGCUUGGUAUACUGGGUGUCUUGAGCCACUUAGGGGUUACCGGAACAAAUGGUGGAGCGGUGAAAUGCGUAGAUAUCGUGUGGAACGCCAAUGGUGAAAACAGGUAGCUGGGGCUGUGCUGACACUGAGACACGAAAGCCAGGGGAGCAAACGGG
rnacentral:rRNA from 1 species